AUACGUAGGUGGCAAGCGUUGUCCGGAAUUACUGGGUGUAAAGGGCGUGUAGGCGGGGAUGCAAGUCAGAUGUGAAAUUCCGGGGCUCAACCCCGGCACUGCAUCUGAAACUGUGUCUCUUGAGUGCUGGAGAGGAAAGCGGAAUUCCUAGUGUAGCGGUGAAAUGCGUAGAUAUUAGGAGGAACACCAGUGGCGAAGGCGGCUUUCUGGACAGUAACUGACGCUGAGGCGCGAAAGCGUGGGUAGCGAACAGGAUUAGAUACCCUGGUAGUCCACGCCGUAAACGAUGGAUACUAGGUGUAGGAGGUAUCGACCCCUUCUGUGCCGGAGUUAACACAAUAAGUAUCCCACCUGGGGAGUACGGCCGCAAGGUUGAAACUCAAAGGAAUUGACGGGG
rnacentral:rRNA from 1 species